rnacentral:rRNA from 1 species
UACGUAGGGUGCAAGCGUUGUCCGGAAUUAUUGGGCGUAAAGAGCUCGUAGGCGGUUCGUCGCGUCGGCUGUGAAAUCCCGAGGCUCAACCUCGGGUCUGCAGUCGAUACGGGCGGACUGGAGUACUGCAGGGGAGACUGGAAUUCCUGGUGUAGCGGUGAAAUGCGCAGAUAUCAGGAGGAACACCGGUGGCGAAGGCGGGUCUCUGGGCCGAUACUGACGCUGAGGAGCGAAAGCGUGGGGAGCAAACAGG